GCUGGGUUGUCUUCGUGUGUCAGCGUGGUCUGUACUGCUGUGGUGAUAGACAAGUACUACUUCCUGUGAUCUGUCCUGAUAGUAAAAGCAUACAGAUCUGCUUUCCCAAGGGAGAUUUAUUUGAUAGCAAGACAAAACUGAGGUGGUACUGUAAUUACAGUGCCACUCUAUCAGUAGUGAGCACACUUUCCAUUCCCUGCUUUUGACUAGGCAGAUUCACUUUGGCACUUCUGGAGAUUGUGUCAUUAACUCCUUAAACCAGCCAAGGAAGAGGGAGAAGACAGGUGCCUUUUUGCUUAUAUGCCAGAAUGAAAUAUUAGUAAGGAUAUCAAAUGAAGUGCCAAAUAAAAAGAUUUAUUGCUCUUGAAAUAUAAAAGUACUAGGGUAUUCCAAAGAAAUAGGUCAAAAUACAACAUCUUUGCCCCUUUGAACAUUAGUGUUAUUGCAGGUUUUGUAAGACAACAAGGAGGACACCCUUGUUGAUUUUCAGGAUCUGGAAGACCAAUGAGAUAUGGUCAGAACCUUUUUUAGAAGGUUGUUGUUUAUUUUCCUAAAGAAUACAGGAUGGAAAAAUUAUUUGAAAAUUGUUCAAUACUUAUUUAGAGCUUAAUUAUUAAACAAGUAUGGCUUGAAUUUCUUAAAAUUUAAAGCAAUCUUAACUAUAAAUAAUGUCACAUCCAUAGUAUAAUUGCUACUUGAACAGCUGCCACAGGAGAAUUGCUUAUUCCUGUUAGACAAUGUGUUGCAUAAAUACUUUGAGUUCUAAGUACCGCUUGUCCAAGUAGGUUGUUAAAUUAAAAUCAUGUCUACACUCCUUUUUCAAAGCUGAUAAGCUUGGACAAUGAAAUAGCUGUCUUCCUAAAGGGCCAUCUUUAGUCCUUUCUCUGGGCUCCCUCCAGAAAAAGUUUGAAUGAGUAUACUUGAAUUGCUCUUUUGAAAACCAUAGUAUUUAUUUUUCUUGUACGCUUCUAAGAUAUACUUUUCCUUUUUAUUUGCCCUUUCUAGGGAAAUAUAAUGGCAUGGUAGUCUCACCAACUGUAUCCAGUUCUGCUGCAUUUACUCUUGGGAGUUGUUCUGACUCCCCUUCAGAAUAGAGCUGCAAACGUUAGUACAAACCUGGCUGGUGCUCUUUAUUAGGAACAAGCAGGGAGGGACAGGUUAGUCCCUACUUGUGCAUAAUCAGUCAGCCUAAGAAGACAGAGGUGGAAAGGGUGCUCUGUCUGGCUUCUGGACUGACAUUGUUCCAUUGCCAGAUACACAAAAUUCUGAUGCAGCUAUCCCACUCUCUAGAGUUUCUGAUAAAUUUGAGGGAAACUAGUGAAGGAAAGAGCACUUGCAGAGACCUUUUUCCAGUGCAGAGGUUCUUGAUAUGUUUGUUGGAGUCAGUGUCCUACUGAACCUUCUGGUGUUUUUAAUGUGGAGAGAAAUAAACUGGGUUAUGAUGUGAUGGAAUUAUCAUCAUUAUAUACUACUUGACUGUAAAGUCAUGUUACUUACUAUGUUUUGCCAAGAAAGGACCAUGGAAUCUCCAGAACUACCACCUUUGUCCAAUCCUGUGUUGGUCUAUAGAUUGCUUUAACAGUAGUGAAGUCUGAACAGAGGUGGGUAUAGGUUCUGCUCUUUUGAACUAUCGUAAGUUUCUAAAACAGUGAGUGAAUAAGCGUUCUUACCUUCAAAAUGAUUCCUGAUUGUCAAGGAAGUUUUUGCAGCUUUUAGCCAAAACACUGACAUCUAAACAUGCAUCUAUAAAUUCCAAAGUUGACUCUGACAUGCAUCUAAAUGCAUCUAAAUUCCAAAGUUGAGGAAUUCACUGUUUCCACAUGAUAGGUAUUUUGUACUAGUACUGCAUUUGAUCUGGGUAGUUUCUGUGCCUGAAUAGUUACAAUGCAAUUCUCUCAUAGUAAAUAACAUGGGAAAGUACUUUAGGUAUCACCUUGAAGACAAAGCAGACCAAUAAACUGCAUACCCUCUCCCCAGAGCAGCUUGGGUUCAAGCAGGAUUCUUCCAGACAAGAUUAUGGUUUCAAAUAUUAAUACAAAUGAGAUGUGAAGCUGCAAGCACAAAACUGCUGAGUGAAAAGUUUAGCAUAUCACAGUGUUACAAACUUGGAAAUCACUUUAUCUUUCUAAUGUGAACCUAAAAGCAUUUACGAAAAUUGGAAAAACUUCUUGGUAUGUAACAGCCUGAGAGUUAAUACUACCUUCAUUUUAGUCUUCUGUUGAGACUAAAUUUAGAGUUGUGCAAGUAAGUAAAAAUCCUAUGGAGAAGCCACAAUAAAGCUAAGAUCUCUGUAGUAAUCUGUCUUUGUGUAUCAACUGCAUUCUUACAAAAGCUUGCCAGAUGUGCAUUCAAAUAUUUUUUUUUCUUCUAGCUGUUCAUUGUAAAACUUUUUUGUCAUUUUCACAUGCUUUUAACAUAACUCUUCAGUAUUUGUGUAGGCAAUGUUCAGCUAAUUUUUGUGUUUUGUUUAUAAUUACGGUACUAAAGUGGAGAAGGGAUGCAUAAAGUUGUGAAUUUUUUAUUAAAAAAGAAAAAGUUUAUGAGCACUGUUAGGAGGUUGUGGGUUUUUUACCAGAAAAUGUUUUUCAGAUUUAAUAGAAGUAAUUUAUUUUGGCUUUUCACUGGAGGAUUUUUGGUUUGCUGCCAAAUCAGGAAUGGUUCAUUCAUUCACUAUGUUUGGAAAACUGUUAUUUCAAAUUUGUUUGUAUUAAAGAGUCUGCCUGUUGAAAAGAUAUCUUUAUUGCUGCAAUAAAUUAAUGUAUCAGACUAUGACUGCUAGUUUCUCUAAUUGGCUAUCAAUUCAUUCCAGAUUAGCAGCCCCCAGUAUUCAUGUGCUUUGUGAGGUCUGCUUUGAAUCCUCUCUAAAGAUGCCUUGGUUCUGUGGCCAGAUUUCUAUAUAAACAGUGUUACCUAAUUUUAAAGGGUUGCUUCGUUAGGCAGAAGUUUUUCAUGUCCGUCAUUUUUGCCUCACAAAAUUGUCCAUUUGUAUAGUGCACACAGUCCAUUAUUAAAUUUUCUUAUUAGUCCUAUGAAAGUGCUAUUGUAUAAAUUUUGAUUUAUCUAGAAUGUACUUCAGAGAAAAAGGCUUUUGGGGUUAAAUUAUGUCUCAUUUCAUGUGUCUGUUGGGGAAAAAGAGAAGAUACCCUGUGUCUGGUCCUGACAAAGCAUAUUUCAUCAGACUGCUAUUAUUUCUGUGCAGGCUUUGAAGAAAAAGGGUAAAAGGUCAUUCUUUUGUUUGUGACUAAGGAAGAUAUUGUCUUUGAAAGAUGGUUUAUUUUUCUCAUAUUUUAAAUAAUCUUACUCUCAUAGCCCAAAUAUAUCCUUGCUUUAAAACCUUAAGAUACAUAUUUCAAUAUAAAUAUGCUCAGCAAGAAGACCAAUUCACUUUUAAGGAAGGCUGACUGUUUAUAAAAUGUGCAGUAUUUAGGUCAUGUUAAUGUUCUUGCAAAUAAAAUAUUUUGACUGUCACAUCAGAAAUGAGAAAUUGUGUUACAAGAAUGAAUCCUUGAGGAUGCUUUUACAUCAGUAUAAUAAAUGCAUAAAAGGUGCUUUGUAAAGGUGAUAUUUAUCAUUCACUAUAAAUAACUAGAUUUAAUAAAUUUCUUUUAAUUUGCUUGGGCUUUUGCACAGCCAAAUGCCCUCUGUGUAGGAAUGAGCUUCAAGUAGAUAACUUGGUGGAAUGGUCCCCUAGAAGAGGAAAUAGACUCCAGUAAUGAAAAGAAGCCUGAUCAGGAGUGGAUAUCUAACUCAAAGAUAAACGCUCUUAUGCAUGCUUUAGUAGAACUACGGAGGGAUAAGUCCAGCUGCUAAAUGUCUGGUUGUUUGUCAGUUCACAACUUUCUUGUCACUGAUAGAAAACUGUUUGAGGUAAGUAGAACUGAUGUUAUUUUCAAUAAACAUGUCCUUUUGUGGUGUUUUAGAAUGAUCUCUCAAAGAAAAUGGAGCUUAUAUGCAGAGGUGAGGAUUUUAAUGUAUUUAUUUCCUGUUGUCACCCAAAAUGGAUUGGUAAAUUCAACAUUUUUACUUUCUCUUUAGAGAAUCAGGGCUUGCAUUUAUUCAUUUGGAUGGGUCAAUGGCACAGAAGAAAAGAAUGAAAGCAAUUUGUUGUUUCCAAAGCAACCAAGCAGGGUCCUGAACUAUAAUGCUUUUGUCUCUGAAAGUGGGUGGAGUUGGAUUAAAUGUGACAGCAGCUUUCCUAGUGUUUUUAAUGGAUCCUGUGGUAAUGGGUUGUUCAUAAUGAUAUGGCCUAAUCUAGGUGAAAUUUCUUUGGUGUUUUUCUAAGAGGCAGAAGGAAAACCUGUCUGAGAAAGAAUGACAAUGAUGAGUAUCUGUUUAAAAGACAAAUAGAAGUUUCCUUCAUUUGUUUCCCUAGCAUCUUCUUGUUUUAACACUGUAUUUUUUUGCUGUCCAUUUAUUUACUAUAAGUGGAAAGAAUACUAGUAAUACUACUAACUUAGACAGUGUAGCGUAUGCUAUGUUCAUUCUUCAUAUCUCUCUUUCUUUCUGAUACUUUUGAAUGAGACUUUCUGUUUGUUAUGAACUUCAAAAGCCACAAAGUGGAAUUUGAGGAACACUAUAUAUUUAAUGUAGUACUUGUCUGUUCUAGCCUCUUCUGCUAUUACUGAGAAUUUAUUUAUAAAUUAAGACAUUAGUCUGAGGUUACCUUUUGUGGUCAUGGGAAACUGGUAAUACUUACAUUUAGGAAGUUUUUUUUCCUUUCAUUAAAGCACUCAGAAAUGCAAAAUUAUUUGUAAAGAAUAAAAAUGUAAAUUACCUUUAUUGAUAACAAAACAGUUGCCUUAGCAAAACUGAUUUAUGUGUUGUGUCAUUGUACCAGAUUAAGGGUUUUCUAUUCACUUCCUGCCUUCCCCUGUUCACUCCUCUGGUGUAAUUCCCAAAUUUUUUUGGCAGUUGGAAACUGUAACAAAAUCUGCACUUGAAAGAAACAGAGUAAAUUAAAACAAUAGUUUAGCUUUGGACUUGGGCAUCCAUCACUGCCAAUUGUAAAGAAAAAGUACAAGCUUGGACAUCAGGUCAUGGAUAGUAACAGUACAAAGACAAAGCCUAUUUAUUUAAUAAGUAAAAGAAAUUAAGUAUGAGUAAGAGUAUGGAGAAGUUGCCAUGAAAGAAUUUUUUUCAUGAAUCACAAUGCAUCUUCACAAAUAUUGUCUGUGUAUGGACUGCAUUGAUCCAUUCACUUGGAAGGGACCUACACUACCAAAACGCCAUCAUGUCUGACUGUUUGGGGUUUUUUUCCCAACAAUUCUCUGAAUAUUUGUAGAAAGUGCAAAAUAAUUUUAAUCUUCUGUGAAGAUAAUGAGGUAUAAUGAAUUCAUCAUAUUGCAGCAAGCAGUUGUAAGAAAAUAAGCUAAGCAUUGCUAACACCAAGUCAUCUACAGUCUAGGUAUAUCUAACAACCCAGGGCCAAAUAUAAUUGCUGCCUUUAGAGACCUCUGAACAGCAACUUCUCAUGCUGCUGGUAGACAUCCUGCGAUGGUAACCAUCCCAAGUGGCAGUGGUUGACUGCUUAUGUUUGAUGGAGGAGCAGUGGGCCCACAUGAUCCUUUCUUUAUGAUCUGACUUUUGAAUAAACAGUGCCAAAUGAGAGUCAUUCAUGCAUUAGCAUUCCUUGAAGUGCACUAGCAGCAGUAAUAGGAUUUAAGAAGCAGAAAUACCAGUGGAGUAAUCAGUUUUUCAAAUUCUUACUUUUGCAGGCUAUGUCCAAAGAUGGUAUUUAAUUCAAAAUUUUAAAAGUACUUUUUACUAUUUCUGAAUAAUAUACAUCUGCAGGAGGGAGUUCCUCUGAUAAUUACUUCCCAGGACUUAGUAAAAAGGUAGUACUUAAAUUUGUGAAACACUUACUUUUAAUAUUUUACUUAACAGAACUCCAAUGAUUUUUGUGAAGUUUUUUUUUUUGUUGUUGAUGGAAUGCUAGAAUCAUAGGCAUGUAUUGCACUAUGCUAUCUAGUAAUUUCAAUAGACACUUUGAACAAUAAGACCAUGCUAGAUGCAAAGUAGAAUCUGAUCCACUCGUGUGUCAGUGAAUGAGGAAGUCCUUACAAAAUAAAUUAAAACAAAUUAUUUUAUAGCUGCCAGCUCUCUAACAGUUUUCCUUUACUGCUUUUCCACUUGCAGUGGAAAAAUGACGUUUUCCACUUCCAUACAUAUGUCUCAAUGGAAUGCUGAUCUGCACGCCACUUGACUUAUGGAGGAAGGACUUGGUAAACUACACCCAUUCAUGUACCACAGAGUAAAAAACAGUGCUGAAGAAUCUCAGUUGAGCAUUAGCUGAAUAUUUAUGUCUGUUCCUGUCUUUCCAUUUGAUUCUUGUCUUCUGAUAAUGUCUUUAUCUAACACAUAUUCUGCUCCCUUCACUGCGAUGCUCAGACUUUGAAUUGGAGUCAGAGAUUGCUAUAUCUACGUCCUGUUUAGAUUUGGGAAGUGUACUUAACAGCAGAGAAAUGGAGUCCAUAAAGCCUUUUAUCUCUUACAUCUGAAAAUAUCAACCUGCUGAUAAUAAGAUGAAUUGGAAACAUAGGAAGUGGAAAAGGACUGAGAAAUAAAGGGAAGAUAUCUACUAUCUGAAGCAAAUGGGCUAAUGAAAGGAGUGAAAAAGGAAGUAAAAACAAGCAAACUAUCAAACUGAUGCCAUUUUUGGAGAGCCAGGACCUUAGCUAUGGAGAAGGGCAUACUUUAAGUCUGUUAGAGAAAGAAUUACAAGGACACAAACGAUGGAAGCAUGAACCCCACUAUCUGACUGCCACUGGAAAGCUGAAAAAGAACAAGAAAACAGCUAAACCUGAUUGAAGUUGGGUUUUGAGUGCCAUUUUUUGGGGUUUUUUGUGGUUUUUUUUUUUUUUUGGUUUGGCAUAGAGUUUAUGUAAGUUAAACUUUGUGUUUUGCUGUUACAGAUUUUGAUAUUUAGAGAUAAGCUGGAAAAAUAAUUUGAAAUUAUGAAAGAGGAUUUGGCCUCUUUUUUGUUAUGUCCAUUUUGCAAGUAAGAAUUUCACAGGCAAGAGUACCAUUUCUAUGGCUA